rnacentral:rRNA from 1 species
GUGCCAGACUCCUACGGGAGGCAGCAGUGGGGAAUUUUGGACAAUGGGCGCAAGCCUGAUCCAGCUAUUCCGCGUGUGGGAUGACGGCCCUCGGGUUGUAAACCCCUUUAGUAGAGAACGAAAAGGAGCUAUCGAAUAAAUAGCUCUGCUGACGGUACUCUAAGAAUAAGCACCGGCUAACUACGUGCCAGCAGCCGCGGUAAUACGUAGGGUGCGAGCGUUAUCCGGAUUUACUGGGUGUAAAGGGCGAGUAGACGGCGUUGCAAGUCAGAUGUGAAAACCUAGGGCUCAACCGUAGGACUGCAUCUGAAACUGUAAUGCUAGAGUGCAGGAGAGGUAAGCGGAAUUCCUAGUGUAGCGGUGAAAUGCGUAGAUAUUAGGAGGAGCACCAGUGGCGAAGGCGGCUUACUGGACUGUAACUGACGUUGAGGCUCGAAAGCGUGGGGAGCAAACAGGAUUAGAUACCCCGGUAGA